GGCUUUCGUGAACAAAUCUAGACCAUAACCUGUCCACAAUAUAGAGAAAAUGCAGAUUUUGUGAUACCUUCGGCAAGUAGCCACACAUAACUGACAUCCAUUAGUAUCCCAUCCAAGUUCCAAAACAAGCAUUUGGCAUUGCAGCUAAACCCAUGGGAUAGGCUUAAUUUGUUGCUAGCCUGAGGCACUGUAUUUUGAAGACAACACUCUGAAUACCUACACUGGCUUUCUAGCCUAUAGUAGUGGACUUGCCUAUGGGCCAGUUUAUUCUACAGUACUGUUGAUCUGCUUCUCUCCACAAGAUGGAAAUGUUGUCCUAAUUUCCUCACCUCUCUGUGGACACCACAACAUGGCCUCACCUCUCUGUGGACACCACGACAUGGCCUCACCUCUCUGUGGACACCACGACAUGGCCUCACCUCUCUGUGGACACCACGGCAUGGCCUCACCUCUCUGUGGACACCACAACAUGGCCUCACCUCUCUGUGGACACCACAACAUGGCCUCACCUCUCCAUGACAUGGCCACAGAUGCAGACGGGCAGAGACAGGAGGCUUGACAUGAACACUGUAGGAGAACUGGAUAUUGAAAUCAGACUUAAAAGGACGUCUGAUUAGCAUCUACAGAUAAUUAAUUUGAUGACGUAAGCAUGGAAUAUCCCGUCCACAAUAUUUCAGACAUUUUCCAGAAAUAUUUUUUGAAAUAAAAGAGUUGUAAGAGGUU
rnacentral:lncRNA from 1 species